UAAUUUUAUUGGUUAUGAAAUCCUUACAAAUUUAGCAUGCAUUAAUCAUGGCUUCAAUUUUCUCUGUUUCUGAUUUCAAAUAAGAUUUUUGAUAGCAGAUAUUUAUAUUAUCAUGUUUUUAUAUACCCUUUUCUCAGAAAAUUGAAUGAAAGGUGAACACUAUUUGAUUUGUGAUAUAAUUUAAAGAAGAAUAUGAACAUAUUUUCCUUCAGGUCUUAAUUGUUUGGGUUUUUGUCCCACCUCAACUUAAGUAGGAGAGGCCAAACUUAGGCUUGCUGUUUCUGGUAGUAUUAGUUUUGGGUAACCACAUAUGGGUAAGUAAAUGAUAUUUGGUUGGCCGUUGUAUUUACAUUUUAUUGGUCAUCUCAUUAGGCACUGACCACUCUGGAUUGCUCCAUUGACUUUGAAACUUGCAUAGUUUAUGUCCAAUUAACCUUGUACAUCUUAAUUCCAUAGAUAUUAUUUGGCACCUUCCCUUAGUCAAGCUUAGUCAAGCUCGACUGUCUUUAAAACUCUGCAUAUCUUACCUUCUAAAGUGUUGCCAUUCAUAUUAAACCAUUUGCAAUAUGCUAUCAAAAUUAAAUAUAGGAAAGACAUAUCUGUGUCAACAACUUAAUAUAAAGUACAUGUAUAUGGCUUUUGUUUGGAAAUAAAACCUAAAUAUAUGUAAAACCAUCCAUAUUUUUUUUUACAAAUACAUUUAGUGAUUAGAUUUUUAUAGUGUAGGUUUUGAUACACAAGUAUAGUUGCACAAGUGUUAUUUUUGUGCCAAUGGGUUCAUGAUCAAAUUGUCACUUUUCCAGCUGUGAAAUCCUGUUUGUCUACUUAUUAUGUUUUUUUUAUAAACAUUUUGUAAUUUCUUGUUAUGGUUUGUUGAUGUUUUGAUAUUAAAGAAAGUAGCUUUGAA
rnacentral:lncRNA from 1 species